rnacentral:rRNA from 1 species
GACGAACGCUGGCGGCGUGCUUAACACAUGCAAGUCGUACGGUAAGGCCCUUUCGGGGGUACACGAGUGGCGAACGGGUGAGUAACACGUGAGUAACCUGCCCACAACUUUGGGAUAACGCUAGGAAACUGGUGCUAAUACUGGAUAUGUGCUCCUGCUGCAUGGUGGGGGUUGGAAAGCUCCGGCGGUUGUGGAUGGACUCGCGGCCUAUCAGCUUGUUGGUGGGGUAGUGGCCUACCAAGGCGGCGACGGGUAGCCGGCCUGAGAGGGUGACCGGCCACAUUGGGACUGAGAUACGGCCCAGACUCCUACGGGAGGCAGCAGUGGGGAAUAUUGCACAAUGGGCGCAAGCCUGAUGCAGCAACGCCGCGUGCGGGAUUACGGCCUUCGGGUUGUAAACCGCUUUCAGCAGGGACGAAGCUUUUUGUGACGGUACCUGCAGAAGAAGCACCGGCUAACUACGUG